rnacentral:ncRNA from 1 species
UGUCUUCAGGGCGGGGUGAAAGUCCCCACCGGCGGUAAUGCGGAUAUAUUCCGACAAGCCCGCGAGCGUAAAGCAUGAUACCGGUGCGAUUCCGGAGCCGACGGUAAAGUCCGGAUGAAAGAAGAG